rnacentral:lncRNA from 1 species
AGGGUUCUAAUGCCCUUAAUUGAUUUAGGGCUUUUAAGGUUCAAAUAAAUAGUACUCCCUCCGUCCCCAAAAUAAGUUCCUCUUUGAGGACGGCACGGGUUUUAAGGAAAAUGAUAAAGUGUAUUGAUAGUGGAGAAAAAUAUGUUAUAAUUAAUAUUGGGAGUGGUGAAAAAGUGAAAAAGUGUUAUAAUUAGUAUUGGGAGUGGUGAAAAAAUGAAAAUUAAGAAUAAAUAAAGUAUUAUUAGUGGUGGGGUAGUUGUCCAAAAAUAGAAAGAAAGAAAGAGGAACUUAUUUGGGGGGACGUCCCAAAAUGGAAAAAGAUGAACUUAUUUCAGGGACGGAGGGAGUAUAUAGCCAAUCUUCUUCUCACAUGUGGCUGCCACAAUCCUCGAUUCCUUUUACUAUCCAUUUCGAAUUGAUGUACGUUCACAUUUUACUUUUUUUGCUUCUGCUAAAUGAAGCUAACUCAUAUGUCGUUCUCUUCUUGCCUUGUUCGAUUUUUCUUGGGCUUGAAUUUGCUGGUGCAAAAUCGUUGAUUGAACGAGUAUUUGAUCAAUUUCUCUGCAGAUUUUUUUAUUAUCGAGGUCGAGUAUUGGCUUGGGCUCAGUUCAUGUAUCAUUCACUCCUUGCAAUUUUUUUCACUUCGGUGUAAAUCUCCGACCACAAUUUACGAAAUUAUGUGUUAUCUGUUAAUUCUUCAAACU